rnacentral:sRNA from 1 species
AGUCAGUACGGGAGUCCGGCGGGUUACAGCGGAGGCCUAGGUGGCAGACAGGGGGCCCGGGCCGCUGCGUGUUGUCCACCCAAGAUGGAGUUCCUCCUGGGGAACCCGUUCAGCACACCAGUGGGGCAGUGCCUCGAAAAGGCAACAGAUGGCUCCCUGCAAAGUGAGGAUUGGACGUUGAAUAUGGAGAUCUGUGACAUCAUCAAUGAGACGGAGGAAGGGCCAAAGGAUGCCAUUCGAGCCCUGAAGAAGCGGCUCAACGGGAACCGGAACUACAGAGAGGUGAUGCUGGCAUUAACAGCAUGGGCUGAUGCCUUUCGAAGCAGUCCUGAUCUCACCGGCGUUGUGCACAUAUAUGAGGAGCUGAAGAGGAAAGGGGUUGAAUUUCCCGUGGCAGACUUGGACGCUCUGUCUCCCAUACACACACCACAGCGGAGUGUCCCUGAAGUGGAUCCAGCCGCGACCAUGCCCAGGUCCCAAUCACAGCAGAGGACAAGUGCUGGUUCCUAUUCCUCGCCGCCUCCUGCUCCCUACUCCGCACCGCAGGCCCCAGCUCUGAGUGUGACUGGCCCCAUCACAGCCAAUUCAGAACAGAUUGCCAGGCUGCGGAGUGAACUGGACGUCGUUCGAGGAAACACAAAAGUCAUGUCUGAGAUGUUAACAGAAAUGGUCCCUGGACAGGAGGAUUCAUCUGAUCUGGAGUUGCUGCAGGAGCUCAACAGGACCUGUCGGGCCAUGCAGCAGCGCAUCGUGGAGCUCAUCUCCCGCGUGUCCAACGAGGAGGUCACCGAGGAGCUGCUGCAUGUGAACGAUGACCUCAACAACGUCUUCCUUCGAUACGAGAGGUGGGAGCCGGAUUUCUUUUUUUUUUUUUUUUCCCUUGAAAAGAUUGUUGCCAUAACAGAGGGACUUCUUUCAUAAACAAAGGAAAGAGAGGGAGAGGGAGAGAGAUUAGAGUUGGAAAAUACUCAUCAGAGAUGCUAAUUUGUUCCCGGCUGACAGGAAAAAUGCUUCUUGUCCUCCUGGGAACUGAGCAGCAGAAGCAGCAGGAAGUUGACGUGCAGAAUUAGGCUCUGCCCUUUGUAAGCCUCAGGCUGCUCUGCCUUUCCCCACUGCCCCGCCACCCCCAGCCCCAGGGAGGGGUAGCACUUGGGGGCCUCUGGGCCCCAGAGCUUCUGCACCUGCUCCUUUGAUGAUCCUUUGAAUUUGAAAAGGAUUAAA